GGAUGUGAGGGCGAUCUGGCUGCGACAUCUGUCACCCCAUUUAUCGCCAGGGUUGAUUCGGCUGAUCUGGCUGGCUAGGCGGGUGUCCCCUUCCUCCCUCACCGCUCCAUGUGCGUCCCUCCCGAAGCUGCACGCUCGGUCGAAGAGGACGACCUUCCCCGAAUAGAGGAGGACCGGUCUUCGGUCAAGGGUAUACGAGUAGCUGCGCUCCCCUGCUAGAACCUCCAAACAAGCUCUCAAAUAAGUUAUGAAAAAAUUUAAAAAAGCAUUCUCUGU
rnacentral:snRNA from 1 species